rnacentral:rRNA from 1 species
CCUACGGGAGGCAGCAGUGGGGAAUAUUGGACAAUGGGCGAAAGCCUGAUCCAGCAAUUCCGCGUGUGUGAAGAAGGCCUUCGGGUUGUAAAGCACUUUAGUGGGGGAAGAAACAGCUUGGCCACACCAAGCCUUGGCGGUACCCCAAGAAUAAGCACCGGCUAACUCUGUGCCAGCAGCCGCGGUAAUACAGAGGGUGCAAGCGUUAAUCGGAUUUACUGGGCGUAAAGGGUGCGUAGGUGGCUAUUUAAGUCGGAUGUGAAAGCCCGGGGCUCAACCUCGGAAUUGCAUUCGAUACUGAGUGGCUAGAGUUCGGUAGAGGGCGGCGGAAUUUCCGGUGUAGCGGUGAAAUGCGUAGAUAUCGGAAGGAACAUCAAUGGCGAAGGCAGCCGCCUGGGCCUGGACUGACACUGAGGCACGAAAGCGUGGGUAGCAAACAGGAUUAGAUACCCUGGUAGUCCACGCCGUAAACGAUGAGAACUUGACGUUGGUUCGUUUUACGAAUCGGUGUCGCAGCUAACGCGAUAAGUUCUCCGCCUGGGGAGUACGGCCGCAAGGUUGAAACUCAAAGGAAUUGACGG